CUUAAAGCUCCAGCCCUCAGAGACUGAUUUGUUGCAUUCUCUGAUCCCAAUUAAAAACAUAUGGAGAAGGAAAUUUGUGGCUCAGCUUCCAAAUCUUGGGCCAGUCAACUGUGGCCAAGAUAGCAGGAUACUUGGACUGGCCCUGCUGGGAUCAGGUGUCCAACCUUGUACUAGUUAAUGGUGGUCAAAGUGAUGAGGUCAUGAAAAAAUAUGGCCGUUCUGGUAGAGACCACAGAGACAGAGUUGGGGCUGCCAUUCCCAGAAGAAGCAGAUGCUGAGCACAUAAACAACCAAGAUGAAUUCUACUUCUCAGACCCUCAAGCUCUCAAGGAUAAUGUCACUACAAGAUAUACUGAAGCUCACAGCUGAAAAUCAUCAUAGAACACUGCAGCGAGAAUCCAAUCAGCUUUAGGUAGAGGACAACACUGUGAGGACUGAAACGCAGCACGGAAGGUUGAAAAAGCCACGAAGCCUUGGAAUUAGACCUGGAUUGGAAGCCUCACUCUUUCACCCAGGCAAGCUUUAGUUGCCUCAUAUGAAAAAUAAGAAUCGUGAU
rnacentral:lncRNA from 1 species